CUUCCAUUCACCUCCCAUCGCGCGCAAUGGAAACAGCUCCUCGAAAAAGCCGGUUAUUGCCUCAAAAACAACACGUUAUCAUCCUUUCCCCGAAAAUCCACGAUGUAACGCACUCUUCAAGAUAUUUCAGCACUCAGCGAUGCUUGUUUCUUCUCCUGCCCUGAUGAGGGGUCCAGAACAUCACUGCAACCACCCGGCUGUGCAUAGCAAACACGAGGCCAGCCAGCCCACAACCAGAGCCUCCCCCAUGUGGAACCGAAUGGAGCCAGACUACGAUCGGCAUGGAAGAUGCUGAGUGCCGUCCAGGACACAGGGAUGAGAGUAGUGAGUGAAGCGAGCAGGUGCAAACAGGCUGCUGUUAUCAGGCAGCACCUGGCACUGUCGGGACGGGUGCACUGAAUGCUCAUGAGUGAACCGAUCCAUGCAGCCACAGCCAGAACCAAAGAGAGAGCUACAAAGUAACGAGCUGACCACAGGGCUGGAUCUAAAUAGGCUUUGCAUGUUAAUGAACUGGCAUCAUGGAUAAAAGAACAUUUAGUCCAAAGUCCUUCAUAUUCUGUCCAUGAUUCAGAGUGAGUUUCCAUCUCGGUAACCCUGUGAUCACAGAGAAAGUCAAAAAGAAAAAGAAAAAUCAUAGCUACUAGGAUUCUUGCUCUCCUCAGUCUGAUGAAUGUUUCAUUAGUUUGAUUCAGCAACUCAUCUGUGAUUUCUUCUUCUCAAAGCUCUUUUUCAACCCUCUGUUGAUGGUGUCUGCAAGUGGCAAAGCUAAUAUUGAUAAUCGACUGUGGCUGGUAGGAGAAAAGUAAAGAAGAAUUUCAUCUUCAAUCCUGGAGCAUCUCAAAUAAAUAAUGGUCACAUCUUCA